rnacentral:ncRNA from 2 species
UUCUUAUCCAGAGAAGUGGAGGGACACGGCCCUAUGAAGCUCGGCAACCAGCAUUUGCAUGGUGCCAAUUCCACAAGCAAAAGCUUGUAAGAUGAGAC